GAUGAACGCUGGCGGCGUGCUUAACACAUGCGAGUCGAACGGAAAGGCUCCUGCUUGCAGGGGUACUCGAGUGGCGAACGGGUGAGUAACACGUGGGUGAUCUGCCCUGCACUUCGGGAUAAGCCUGGGAAACUGGGUCUAAUACCGGAUAGGACCACAUUUUGGAUGGUGUGGUGGAAAGUUUUUCGGUGUGGGAUGAGCUCGCGGCCUAUCAGCUUGUUGGUGGGGUAAUGGCCUACCAAGGCGUCGACGGGUAGCCGGCCUGAGAGGGUGUACGGCCACAUUGGGACUGAGAUACGGCCCAGACUCCUACGGGAGGCAGCAGUGGGGAAUAUGGCACAAUGGGCGCAAGCCUGAUGCAGCGACGCCGCGUGGGGGAUGACGGCCUUCGGGUGGUAAACUCCUUUCGCUAGGGACGAAGCGCAAGUGACGGUACCUGGAGAAGAAGCACCGGCUAACUACGU
rnacentral:rRNA from 1 species